rnacentral:rRNA from 1 species
GAUGAACGCUGGCGGCGUGCUUAACACAUGCAAGUCGAACGAAGCACUUUAUUUGAUUUCCUUCGGGACUGAUUAUUUUGUGACUGAGUGGCGGACGGGUGAGUAACGCGUGGGUAACCUGCCUUGUACAGGGGGAUAACAGUUGGAAACGGCUGCUAAUACCGCAUAAGCGCACGGCAUCGCAUGAUGCAGUGUGAAAAACUCCGGUGGUAUAAGAUGGACCCGCGUUGGAUUAGCUAGUUGGUGAGGUAACGGCCCACCAAGGCGACGAGCCAUAGCCGACCAGAGAGGGUGACCGGACACAUUGGGACUAAGCCACGGCCCAAACUCCUACGGGAGGCAGCAGUGGGGAAUAGUGCAAAAUGGGCGAAAGCAUGAUGCAGCGACGCCGCGUGAGCGAAGAAGUAUUUCGGUAUGUAAAGCUCUAGCAGCAGGGAAGAUAAUGACGGUACCUGAAUAAGAAGCACCGGCUAAAUACGUG